CAGGACGAACGCUGGCGGCGUGCCUAAUACAUGCAAGUCGAGCGGAUGAUGAGAGAAGCUUGCUUCUCUCUGAUUUAGCGGCGGACGGGUGAGUAACACGUGGGUAACCUACCUUAUAGAUUGGGAUAACUCCGGGAAACCGGGGCUAAUACCGAAUAAUACUUUUAAACACAUGUUUGGAAGUUGAAAGACGGUUUCGGCUGUCACUAUAAGAUGGACCCGCGGCGCAUUAGCUAGUUGGUGAGGUAACGGCUCACCAAGGCAACGAUGCGUAGCCGACCUGAGAGGGUGAUCGGCCACACUGGGACUGAGACACGGCCCAGACUCCUACGGGAGGCAGCAGUAGGGAAUCUUCCACAAUGGACGAAAGUCUGAUGGAGCAACGCCGCCGUGAGUGAAGAAGGAUUUCGGUUCGUAAAACUCUGUUGCAAGGGAAGAACAAGUAGCGUAGUAACUGGCGCUACCUUGACGGUACCUUGUUAGAAAGCCACGGCUAACUACGUGCCAGCCGCGGC
rnacentral:rRNA from 1 species